CAGCAGCCACGGUAAUACAGAGGGUGCGAGCGUUAAUCGGAUUUACUGGGCGUAAAGCGUGCGUAGGAGGCUUCUUAAGUCGGAUGUGAAAUCCCUGAGCUUAACUUAGGAAUUGCAUUCGAUACUGGGAAGCUAGAGUAUGGGAGAGGAUGGUAGAAUUCCAGGUGUAGCGGUGAAAUGCGUAGAGAUCUGGAGGAAUACCGAUGGCGAAGGCAGCAAUCUGGCCUAAUACUGACGCUGAGGUACGAAAGCAUGGGGAGCAAACAGGAUUAGAUACCCCGGUAGUCCCUGUCUCUUAUAC
rnacentral:rRNA from 1 species